CUGAAAUCCUAUGUUUGUCUAGUGACUUCAAACACAGGCACCUGAUGCCUUGAGCAGGAGAGCAGAGCAAUGGAUUACAGGACCACACAUCAGAAAGUACAGGAUUGGGAAUGAAGAAGGCUGGCCUACAAGAAUAAGGAGUACUAUGGAAGAUCCCCAUUAUGGACAGUUCCAACACUUCUGAAGGGAAGUUAAUGCUUUCUGAAAAUUUACAAAGCUAAAGUAAGACAAAGUGAGCAGUGAUUUGUUGCAUGAGAAUGCAUGUUAAGGGUCACGAGAGAAAGUAACAUAGGAGAAUAGUCAUUUACACAUGUCU